GUAGGUGAACCUGCGGAAGGAUCAUUAACACGUAUCCACGUAUCAAAACCCCUCUGUGCAAUUCUCUCCGUUGAAGGUCUGAUUGGAGUUGUAUGCACUCGAUCUUAAUGAUGGGAGCUUCUCCUUCUCUGAAAGAGGAGCUCGGGAUCUAUGAGUGUGUACCGCGCUUGACAAUCGGGCCGAUAUUUUCCCAUCGUUAGGCUUUUUACCACAUUUUAACCCCUUGUACUUUUUAUGUACUGAACCAACU
rnacentral:misc_RNA from 1 species